rnacentral:rRNA from 1 species
ACGUAGGAUGCAAGCGUUGUCCGGAUUUACUGGGCGUAAAGCGCGCGCAGGCGGCACACCAAGUACCCUAUGAAAUCUCCUUGCUCAACGGGGAGGGUGUUGGGUAGACUGGUGAGCUAGUGGACGGUAGAGGGGGGUAGAAUUGCUGGUGUAGCGGUGAAAUGCGUAGAGAUCAGCAGGAAUACCCGUGGCGAAGGCGGCCCCCUGGGCCAGCACUGACGCUGAGGCGCGAAAGCUCGGGGAGCGAACGGGA